ACUACGGGAGGCAGCAGUGAGGAAUAUUGGUCAAUGGGCUUACGCCUGAACCAGCCAAGUCGCGUGAGGGAAGACUGCUCUCUGGGUUGUAAACCUCUUUUGUCAGGGAGCAAUUGGCGCUACGUGUAGCGUUAUCGAGAGUACCUGAAGAACAAGCAUCGGCUAACUCCGUGCCAGCAGCCGCGGUAAUAGGGAGGAUUCGAGCGUUAUCCGGUUGUAUUGGGUUUAAAGGGUGCGUAGGCGGAAUGCCAAGUCAGCGGUAAAAUCGCGGGGGUCAACCUCGCUCCGCCGUUGAGACUGGCGUUCUGGAGUGGGCGAGAGGUAUGCGGAAUGCGUGGUGUAGCGGUGAAAUGCAUAGAUAUCACGCAGAACUCCGAUUGCGAAGGCAGCAUACCGGCGCCCAACUGACGCUGAAGCACGAAAGCGUGGGUAGCGAACAGGAUUAGAUACCCCUGUAGUC
rnacentral:rRNA from 1 species